UACGUAGGGGGCUAGCGUUGUCCGGAUUUAUUGGGCGUAAAGAGCGUGUAGGCGGCCAGGUAGGUCCGUUGUGAAAACUCGAGGCUCAACCUCGAGACGUCGGCGGAAACCCUCUGGCUAGAGUCCGGAAGAGGAGAGUGGAAUUCCUGGUGUAGCGGUGAAAUGCGCAGAUAUCAGGAAGAAUAUCCGUGGCGAAGGCGGCUCUCUGGGACGGUACUGACGCUGAGACGCGAAAGCGUGGGGAGCGAACAGG
rnacentral:rRNA from 1 species